AUACGAAAGGUGCAAGCGUUGUGCGGAUUUACUGGGCGUAAAGAGAUCGUAGGUGGUUUGUUAAGUUGGAUGUGAAAUCCCGGGGCUCAACCUCGGAACUGCAUCCAAAACUGGCAGACUUGAGUUCGGGAGGGGUAAGCGGAAUUCCGUGUGUAGCAGUGAAAUGCGUAGAUAUACGGAGGAACACCUGAGGCGAAGGCGGCUUACUGGACCGAUACUGACACUGAGGAUCGAAAGCGUGGGUAGCAAACAGGAUUAGAAACCCCAGUAGUCC
rnacentral:rRNA from 1 species